rnacentral:pre_miRNA from 1 species
UCUUGUGGAUGAGCUAAGAAAGCGGUUUCUUCAGAUGGAAUCUACUCCUGUUGAAGAUGCCGUGAA